GUCUACAGCCAUACCACCCUGAACACUCCCGAUCUCAUCUGAUCUCGGAAGCUAAGCAGGGUUGGUCCUGGUUAGUACCUGGAUGGGAGACUGCCUGGGAAUACUGGGUGCUGUAGCUU
rnacentral:rRNA from 1 species